UGGAUAGCUCAGCUGGUUAGAAUGUGGUGCUUAUAAUGCCAAGGUUUGUAGGUUCGAUCCCCAUAUAGGACAG